UUAGUUAGUUGGUGAGGUAAAGGCUCACCAAGGCGAUGAUGGUUAGGGGUCCUGAGAGGGUAGUCCCCCACACUGGUACUGAGACACGGACCAGACUCCUACGGGAGGCAGCAGUGAGGAAUAUUGGUCAAUGGGCGCUAGCCUGAACCAGCCAUGCCGCGUGCAGGAAGACGGCCCUACGGGUUGUAAACUGCUUUUCUGCAGGAAGAAUAUAUAGUCUUAGGGCUAUAUUGACGGUACUGCAGGAAUAAGCAUCGGCUAACUCCGUGCCAGCAGCCGCGGUAAUACGGAGGAUGCAAGCGUUAUCCGGAUUCAUUGGGUUUAAUGGGUGCGCAGGCUGUAAAGCAAGUCAGUGGUGAAAGCCCUGGGCUUAACUCAGGGAUUGCCAUUGAAACUGUUUUACUAGAGUGUAGUAGAGGACGGCGGAAUGAGUUGUGUAGCGGUGAAAUGCAUAGAUAUAACUCAGAACACCUAUUGCGUAGGCAGCUGUCUAUACUACAACUGACGCUGAGGCACGAAAGCGUGGGGAGCGAACAGGAUUAGAUACCCUGGUAGUCCACGCUGUAAACGAUGAUCACUCGUUGUUGGCUACUUAGUAGUCAGUGACCAAGGGAAACCGAUAAGUGAUCCACCUGGGGAGUACGUCGGCAACGAUGAAACUCAAAGGAAUUGACGGGGGCCCGCACAAGCGGAGGAACAUGUGGUUUAAUUCGAUGAUACGCGAGGAACCUUACCUGGGCUUAAAUGCUGGCUGCAUUGGAGGGAAACCUUCAUUUCCUACGGGACCGCCAGCAAGGUGCUGCAUGGUUGUCGUCAGCUCGUGCCGUGAGGUGUCGGGUUAAGUCCCAUAACGAGCGCAACCCCUAUCGCUAGUUGCCAGCAUGUAAUGGUGGGGACUCUAGCGAGACUGCCGGUGUAAACCGGAGGAAGGUGGGGAUGACGUCAAAUCAGCACGGCCCUUACGUCCAGGGCUACACACGUGUUACAAUGGCCGGUACAAAGAGCAGCCACCUGGCGACAGGGCGCUAAUCUCUAAAACCGGUCUCAGUUCGGAUCGAAGUCUGCAAUUCGACUUCGUGAAGGUGGAUUCGCUAGUAAUCGCGCAUCAGCCAUGGCGCGGUGAAUAAGUUCCCGGGCCUUGUACACACCGCCCGUCAAGCCAUGGAAGUCGGGGGUACCUGAAGUCCGUAACCGA
rnacentral:rRNA from 1 species